UGCAGGUGAUGCCAUAUUAAGAAACCUUGAGAUAAAAGAAAAUGCCUUGAGUCAACUGGACAUUCCUUUCAAAGUCAGAGCGGGACACAUAGGUCGUUUGGAGCUGAAGAUCCCUUGGAAGAACCUGUACACUCAGUCUGUGGAGGCCACGCUGGAUGAAGUUUUCCUGCUCAUCGUGCCUACAG